AGUAACGGGCUCAUACGAGGUCAUUUCCAACC
rnacentral:piRNA from 1 species